rnacentral:snRNA from 1 species
CCGGGCGGAGCGGCCGUCG